UUCUGGGAAAGAGGGCAAUGAGUCGGUGGUUUUUUAGAGGCCUGGCCGCUAUCCUGUAAAACGCUUUUGUAGCUUAUUUCAUCACAUUUUUUCUGAUGCCGCUAUAUUGACAGUGUGUACCUUUCUUUCAGAAUCUAUAGAGAAGAACAGCGACGUCCGAUGGGAUCUUGGAAGGUUGCCGGGAAUGUGCAGAUCGGCAAUUGCACCUUAAUACGGACAUACGAAAUCUUUCAGGAGGAAGACAUUGGGAACUUGUUCUCAUUUAGGUGGCUACCAGUGGUUUGAUUGCAGCCAGGAGAGCCAGUGAUUUGGGCUCUGGAACGGGAGCUGAAUUGGUCCUGUACCUUCAGGAAUGGCUUCUCCAGAUUCAACCCUUAUUCAAGAUGGCUGAAGUUGAUGACAGUCUGAUCUCUGAAAAUUAAGGCUUGAGUCAGCCACACGUGGACUGUGCUGUUGGACCUACCAGAGGACAUCCCAUCACCACCACCUGCCGGGAUUAGGCCUUGCAUCUCCAGAGCUGGGUUAGAACUGGACUGGCCUUGAGUAGGAGGUGAGAUAAAGAAAACCUGCACCAUUUCGAUCCAUCGCCUUGACAAAAUUUUUCAUUAAACCAAGUUUAAUGUGCAACGGUGGAACUGCAAAUGUUAUGUGACAAGAACCAUGUAUCCAGCCAGUUAGUAAUUUAACACAAGAGAUACAGGACAAGUGAGGGGUCCAGGCCUUAUCCUGAGCACCUAUUUUAUAAUACAAAUAAAGUUCAUAUGUUUUCUUAACUAGACGAAUAAAGUUUAAUCUCUGGAGUUAAAAGUUAGCUACAUAACAAUUCAGGUGAUCAAUAUGUUUGUGAGGCAUACAUUUGUGAGAAUUUAAGGACGUAUAUCAGCAUCUUUAAACUACAAAACAUCUUAGAAAAUGGGAUUAGAGAAAAAUAACAAUGUUUACCAAAUGACACCUGGCACACAACUGACUGAACAAUCUGCUCCAUAUUGAGAAUUUCACUGCAUGAUUGGAUGUGCAUGAGCCUGUCUUGCCACACAGCACAUAAGCUGGGCCUUCCUACAGCAUGAAAGAACAAGCCAACUUGUGACUUCUCUCCUCCUCCACCUCCUCAGCCCCCUUCAAAAAGCCACACUGUUUUACUACUGCCUCCUAUUGCAUGGUUUAUAUUAAGAUUCAUAUGUCAUUUAAUAGUGGGUGAUAAAGAAAUUUCAGAUGCAAUUUAAAAUUUUAGCAUGAAGAGAACUUUAAAUCCCCAGUAAAAUUCCAUGUAGCAAUUGUGUGUUGAGCAGUAAAAUUAAUUAUUGGCAGAAUGGGAACUUAGAACUAAGGUCUAUGUGCUCUUGCUUUGUUGCUUCUUCUUCUAUACCUACUGGGAACACAUUUUCCCAAGCCCCAAAUCAGAAUUUGUGGUCUGACAAAGGAAAUUACUUGGUAAGCCCUAGUUAAAAGUGCUUAUUCUUUCCUUCAAAUUGGGACUGUCCCAGGAAAUCUGGGACAUAUGGCAUGGUAACUGAAUUGCACUGCCUCUUUCCCAGACAGCUUCCUUUGCUCCCCAGCAUACACCCAGUUGUUUCCCUGGCCUCUUACCAGUCAGUGUGUGCUCAAGGAAUGAAAAUGAAUUUUAACAUUAGCCUAAGCAAAACAUAGUCAGAAAAGUAGAUCUGCAAUUUUAAAAAAAACUAAUUUGUUCCAAAAUCAUUCAUACUUCUGGUGACCACAUAUCCUAGAUUUUUAAAGAUCAUCCUGAACUCGAGAAAGGAAAAGUGUUUUUAAAAAAGGAAUAUACUUUGUUGGGUCAUGUAUCCUGAUUGUGGUUCAGGAAGAAAUGAUUGUUAUGUCUGUUACAUAUGUUUUUUAAAAUUAUCUAUGACUAGGCUUUCUUUCAUUAUUGCCAAAUUGACUCAUAUUAAAGUUAUCUGUAGUGAUUAUAUACUUUGGAUUUUCUAGAAUAGUCCCAAUUUAAAAAAAAAAAGAAGCAUUCUUUUGUAAAAGAAUGUCCUUUGUCAGACUGUGUGUCCCUGUUUGGUGGUAGUGGUGGUGGUUGUUGUUUCCUUCUUGUUGUUGUUCUUGUUGUUGUUUGGGAAAAUAAAGUCAUUGUAGAAAUAACCCUAAAGCAGACUUCUCUAAAGCAAUUGAAUAGGAAAGUGAGAGAUAAUAUUAGCCUAGGAGAGGCAGGCCUUUCUAUCUUCCCCAAACCUGGGAAAUCGCAAUCAAAUGCUUAUGAAACACAAAAUAAUAUAUUUGAUUUUAUAAAUCUACUGUCCAAGAACAAAAUGCGUCACAUCUGUGAUCUUGUGGUCAUGUGAUAUAAGAAUAGAGAGGUGGAGAGGCAUCAAAGAUCAUGUUGUUUUGCAUUUUAAAUGUACAGGCUUGAUCAGGAGAAACUGGUCAACUUGAUAAGGUUCAGUCUCAUUGUACAAUAUUGAUUUUGCCCCCACUUUCCCAUGAAAAGAUGGAGAAGGGGCACAGGAUUUUGAUGAUGCCUCUUUGAUAGGUUAGGAAGAGCCUCAUUUGAAGAUUCUUUCUUCAUCAAGGAUGAUUUGAUGGGCUUGGGCUCAGGCUCAGGCUCAGAUCAGAGCUACCCUUUUGUACUGUUCUUACCCCCUAUGAGGGGUAGACAGUCCUACCAGAACUAAUCUAAAGCUAAGAAUAGACUGAGGCUCCUGGAUUAGGGUUUAAUAGGCAUCAGAGCCAUCUUCCUUCAGAUUGUUGCUAAUGACAGUCAUGGAGAAGCAGUGAUUUCAAAGCCUCUUCACUAGGAGAGGAUUGAGUCCAUGCCCCAAGAUGUGGAAGAGGCAAGUUGCAGUUAAACAUGCCCUCAACUAUGGAGCUGAAGACCUGAAAGAUGUUAAGGGCUGGAGAGGCAGUGAUAGAAUAAAGAAAAAGCCUAAAUCCACCUUCUAAGGAGAAUAGGGAAGUGCCAGUAUCCAGUUUGGAAAGAUAAUAAAAGAAUCUCUUAGCCAGAGGCAGUAGUGGAGCAGAAUAAAAAGCUGAGGCCUUUCUCCUGCGAAAAAUAAUCUGUGGCCCUGGAGCCUGAGGUGAUUGAUCCUUGGGGAGGAGCAAAUGUGGACUUUUAAAGCAUGGGUUUGGUGCCAAUUGGG